UGUGAAACAGAAGCGAUCAACGUCUAUCGCUGGAGAAUCAAAGUCCUUGAACAAGAAUUGGAAAGAACAAUCGAUUACUUUCAAAUACAGAUUAUUUAUUUGAAGAAAAAUGCAAAUGAUACUUGG